GCCUGGGUGGCUUAGUUGGUUAAGCGUCUGACUUCGGCUCAGGGCAUAAGCUCAUGGAUCCUGGGUUCAAGCCCCAUGUCAGGCU
rnacentral:tRNA from 1 species